rnacentral:rRNA from 1 species
AGGAAGGUGGGGAUGACGUCAAAUCAGCACGGCCCUUACGUCCGGGGCUACACACGUGUUACAAUGGGGGGUACAGAGGGCCGCUACCACGCGAGUGGAUGCCAAUCCCCAAAACCUCUCUCAGUUCGGACUGGAGUCUGCAACCCGACUCCACGAAGCUGGAUUCGCUAGUAAUCGCGCAUCAGCCACGGCGCGGUGAAUACGUUCCCGGGCCUUGUACACACCGCCCGUCAAGCCAUGGGAGCCGGGGGUACCUGAAGUGCGUAACCGCGAGGAGCGCCCUAGGGUAAAACUGGUGACUGGGGCUAAGUCGUAACAAGGUAGCCGUACCGGAAGGUGCGGCUGGAACACCUCCUUU